AACGAACGCUGGCGGCAUGCCUAACACAUGCAAGUCGAACGAGACCUUCGGGUCUAGUGGCGCACGGGUGCGUAACGCGUGGGAACCUGCCCUUAGGUUCGGAAUAACUCCCCGAAAGGGGUGCUAAUACCGGAUAAUGUCUUCGGACCAAAGAUUUAUCGCCUUUGGAUGGGCCCGCGUUGGAUUAGCUAGUUGGUAGGGUAAAAGCCUACCAAGGCGACGAUCCAUAGCUGGUCUGAGAGGAUGAUCAGCCACACUGGGACUGAGACACGGCCCAGACUCCUACGGGAGGCAGCAGUGGGGAAUAUUGGACAAUGGGCGAAAGCCUGAUCCAGCAAUGCCGCGUGAGUGAUGAAAGCCUUAGGGUUGUAAAGCUCUUUUACCCGGGAUGAUAAUGACAGUACCGGGAGAAUAAGCUCCGGCCAACUCCGUG
rnacentral:rRNA from 1 species